GCGGAUGUGGCGGAAUUGGCAGACGCGCCAGACUUAGGAUCUGGUGCCCGCAAGGCGUGGGGGUUCAAGUCCCUUCAUCCGCA
rfam:Desulfotomaculum putei DSM 12395 genome assembly, contig: EJ51DRAFT_scaffold00002.2